CACGUAGGGCGCAAGCGUUGUCCGGAAUUAUUGGGCGUAAAGAGCUCGUAGGCGGUCUGUUGCGUCGGGAGUGAAAACUUACAGCUUAACUGUGAGCGUGCUUUCGAUACGGGCAGACUUGAGGCAUUCAGGGGAGAACGGAAUUCCUGGUGUAGCGGUGAAAUGCGCAGAUAUCAGGAGGAACACCGGUGGCGAAGGCGGUUCUCUGGGAAUGUCCUGACGCUGAGGAGCGAAAGUGUGGGGAGCGAACAGG
rnacentral:rRNA from 1 species